CUCACAAAUACGUCAUUGACGCUGAGGCACGAAAGUGCGGGGAUCAAACAGGAUUAGAUACCCUGGUAGUCCGCACAGUAAACGAUGAUAACUCGCUGUUGGCCUGCAAAGGUCAGUGGCCAAGCGAAAGCGAUAAGUUAUCCACCUGGGGAGUACGACCGCAAGGUUGAAACUCAAAGGAAUUGACGGGGGCCCGCACAAGCGGAGGAACAUGUGGUUUAAUUCGAUGAUACGCGAGGAACCUUACCCGGGCUCGAACGGUGCAUGAAGGACCCAGAGAUGGGAACGCUCUUUGGAGCAUGUAUCGAGGUGCUGCAUGGUUGUCGUCAGCUCGUGCCGUGAGGUGUCGGCUUAAGUGCCAUAACGAGCGCAACCCUUGUUGUCAGUUACCAGCGCGUAAAGGCGGGGACUCUGGCGAGACUGCCACCGUAAGGUGAGAGGAGGGGGGGGAUGACGUCAAAUCAGCACGGCCCUUACGUCCGGGGCGACACACGUGUUACAAUGGCCGGUACAGAGGGGAGCUAGCUGGUGACAGUGUGCAAAUCUCGAAAGCCGGUCUCAGUUCGGAUCGGAGUCUGCAACUCGACUCCGUGAAGUUGG
rnacentral:rRNA from 1 species